AGAGUUUGAUCAUGGCUCAGAUUGAACGCUGGCGGCAUGCCUUACACAUGCAAGUCGAACGGUAACAGGUCUUCGGAUGCUGACGAGUGGCGAACGGGUGAGUAAUACAUCGGAACGUGCCCGAUCGUGGGGGAUAACGAGGCGAAAGCUUUGCUAAUACCGUAUACGAUCUACGGAUGAAAGCGGGGGAUCUUCGGACCUCGCGCGGACGGAGCGGCCGAUGGCAGAUUAGGUAGUUGGUGGGAUAAAAGCUUACCAAGCCGACGAUCUGUAGCUGGUCUGAGAGGAUGAUCAGCCACACUGGGACUGAGACACGGCCCAGACUCCUACGGGAGGCAGCAGUGGGGAAUUUUGGACAAUGGGCGAAAGCCUGAUCCAGCCAUGCCGCGUGCAGGAUGAAGGCCUUCGGGUUGUAAACUGCUUUUGUACGGAACGAAAAGCCUCUUUCUAAUAAAGAGGGGUCAUGACGGUACCGUAAGAAUAAGCACCGGCUAACUACGUGCCAGCAGCCGCGGUAAUACGUAGGGUGCAAGCGUUAAUCGGAAUUACUGGGCGUAAAGCGUGCGCAGGCGGUUUUGUAAGACAGAGGUGAAAUCCCCGGGCUCAACCUGGGAACUGCCUUUGUGACUGCAAGGCUGGAGUGCGGCAGAGGGGGAUGGAAUUCCACGUGUAGCAGUGAAAUGCGUAGAUAUGCGGAGGAACACCGAUGGCGAAGGCAAUCCCCUGGGCCUGCACUGACGCUCAUGCACGAAAGCGUGGGGAGCAAACAGGAUUAGAUACCCCGGUAGUCCAA
rnacentral:rRNA from 1 species